GAUACCAGGGUCAAAAGGUCAAAAAUCCGAUGCAAGUUUGCCUGCAGGUAGAUUUUUGACCUUGGGACCCGCCCAAAACAUGAAUAAGCAGCCAUUUUCCGCAAAAAAAUGAGCGAAUUAUGAAUAUUUUUGAGGAUUGCGAGAGUGCAAAGCACGGAGCAAUCCGGUA
rnacentral:sRNA from 1 species